rnacentral:rRNA from 1 species
UACGAAGGGGCUAGCGUUGCUCGGAAUCACUGGGCGUAAAGCGCACGUAGGCGGAUUGCUAAGUCAGGGGUGAAAUCCUGGAGCUCAACUCCAGAACUGCCUUGAUACUGGCGAUCUCGAGUCCGGAGAGGUGAGUGGAACUGCGAGUGUAGAGGUGAAAUUCGUAGAUAUUCGCAAGAACACCAGUGGCGAAGGCGGCUCACUGGACACAUAUUGACGCUGAGGUGCGAAAGCGUGGGAGCAACAGG